rnacentral:tRNA from 1 species
GGUCCCUUCGUCUAUCGGCUAGGACGUGACCCUCUCAAGGUCGAAAGACGGGUUCGACUCCCGUAGGGACCG